rnacentral:rRNA from 1 species
GAAUGCUGACAUAAGUAACGAUAAAGCGGGUGAAAAGCCCGCUCGCCGGAAGACCAAGGGUUCCUGUCCAACGUUAAUCGGGGCAGGGUGAGUCGACCCCUAAGGCGAGGCCGAAAGGCGUAGUCGAUGGGAAACAGGUUAAUAUUCCUGUACUUGGUGUUACUGCGAAGGGGGGACGGAGAAGGCUAUGUUAGCCGGGCGACGGUUGUCCCGGUUUAAGCAUGUAGGCUGAUUGUCC